GCCUUGCCAUGAUUUUGGAUCUGGCUAUGUCGCAUGCGUGGCGAGGUGAAGAGGAUGGAUGCUGGAAGCAAAAGAAAAUGUUAGUCUUAAUCCAUGCCAACUCAAUAGACACCUUCGAAGAUACUGCGAAGCACCACAAUCAAACAAAACGGUUACCGGGGUUGAGUUGACAAGGAACAUAUCCAGUAUGACAUCCGGGUCUUCCUGGGUCUCCUCGGCAUUGACGUGAUUCACACGACCCUUGUCAAUGUUGGGCUGAUUGUGGGGAGUUGAGGAUCUCGCACGAUUGGAUAACGCGUGAGAUGCUGGCUCGCGAGGAGGCGUGCAUCCACCUGUAACGAGUGUUUUCCUUUCCCUAUUCUAAUAUUCAAUGAAGUUGGUGCUUCUUACGUGUUUCUCUAUUAAAAAAAACUGAAAUUCGUAAAACUGAUAAUCAAACACAUAUUUAUUUGGUCAGGGAAAACGAAACGUAUUCCACGCUUCCAGCAAACCAAUAUGUGGAUGGAUAAUUAGAUGAACAAUAAUAUGCUUGUAUAUAAGCGCUUGCGUUUGUAUUAUCUUAAAAAAAAAGUUACUCGAGCCAAGAGUGAAGCGCGUGCCGUGGACGGACUGGGGGAGGGAUGUUUGCGUCGCGUAGUCUCCCCAAAUUAUUUUCCACCAGUGGAGUCUUCAGUCUCUACCGAAAUAGUAUCCGCAAAUCAGUAGAUGUAGUAUGUGGAGGAGUUAGCAGCACACCGUCGCCGCUCAAGGCUCUGACC
rnacentral:lncRNA from 1 species